AAAAGGUAAAAAAAUAACAAAAGGGAGGGGGGACAUUAUCAAUGCAAGAGGUAAAAGAACUAAAAAACUAAAAAAAAUAAAAGAAAGAACAAAAAUAAAUAAAUAAAGCAAUAAUAUAAAAUAAUAAAUAAAAAAUAUAUACAAAAGACAAAAAUAGGUUGAAAAUUGGGGGUGUAGUUAUGAAAAUGCUCUAGGCCCAAAGAAGGAAGGCUCAC
rnacentral:lncRNA from 1 species